rnacentral:lncRNA from 1 species
AUGGAAGCUGCAGAAAUAAGGUCGUUGGGCGCCCAGGGGUUUUUAUCCGCUCCCGGCGACGUGGGGCGUUAGGAGCCAUUGUUCCAGGGAUUCAAGGCAGCCCCCUCUCACCAACCGCGCGCUGGGGCGGGGGUCGCGCUCGUUAAUCAUUUCUGCGCAGCUCCCUCGGCUUGCGACCACAGGAGCCGGCCUGGCGAAGCUGCCUGAGCAAGACGCGGGAGGGCAUGCGGGGCCAAGCUGGCUCGGACUGCCUUCAACCAGGGAGGAGGAAAGUCCUCACGCAAGGCUGCGGGGGCUCAGCAGGCGGGCUCAGUGAUUGGUUACUGAAGAUCGGGAGUCUAGCCAGAGGGGCGCUUCCUCGCCCCCGCCUGGCCGCCCCCUCCCCUGCCCACCUCCUCCAUCCCGGACCCCCCAGUGCAGCCUCGGGCGCACGCGGAUCACCGGCUGCGCGUGCGCGUCGAGCCCCUUGCCACAGUCUCGCAGUCGGCGGGUGCGGGGCGUCCGCGGACACGUGCGGGACCCAGGGCAGGCCUUCGAGCUUCGUGGAGGUGUGGGAUGGGACUCAGGACAGGCCAAGUUUUGUCUGCAAGAAGCUUGAAAGCUAACUGGGGAGAGACAUGCAAAGAAAAACAGGACCAGACACAGUGCAGCAGGUGUCAUAAUGGAGAUGUAUGUAUAUGAAGUGCUUGGGAGCCCAGAGGAAAAAGGAAGAACUUCCCAGAGCAGGCACUUUUUGAACUAGAUCCUGAAGGUUGAGCAGCCCUAGGAGUUUGGGCUCAGGAAUUCCAGGUAACUAAAACACCUUGCAAAAAGGGACAGAGUUGUGAAAAACAGGGCUGGGGGCCAUAGGAACUCUGGUGUGGCAUCCACUGUGCCUGGUUUCUGUCCCCUGAAUUCAGGCUCCAACCCUGGGCUGAAGCCAGGAACCCUACCUUGGAGGUCAGCCUUGCCCCAGGCACUGGGCCCAGGUCUGCUCUUACUCAGAGGAAACAGAAGUAGCUGGCGUA